GGUUGCGAUCAUCCCAGUACUAAUGCACCGGAUCCCAUCAGAACUCCGCAGUUAAGCGUGCUUGGGCGAGAGUAGUACUAGGAUGGGUGACCCCCUGGGAAGUCCUCGUGUUGCAACCC
rnacentral:rRNA from 1 species